CCCACUUCCUGUUGGCGGAAUCCGUAUUUGAGCGCCCAAAUUAACAGUGCUUCCUUACAAAUUCUCCGGGAUUAAUUUUCAACCUACAGGAGGCUCGGGUCGCUCCCUAACUCCCCAGAGGGUGUAGGAUCUGUGGUCCCGGUGCCGGCUUGACGAUCCCUGGGUUCCUAGAAGGACCUCGCUACGCAGCUCUCUCAGCUGCCCGCGGUAGAGGAGAGCUAGCAAGGAUAAUAAACCGGUUUUAUUUCCAAGUGGAGCUCCAUCCAGGGACCCAGAGGUCCUUGGGCGGGCACCGAAACCACCGGGUUAAGGUAAAUUGAGGCUCCCUGAGAUUAAGUGGUUAAGCAUUGUGAGCACGAAUUAAUUUUGUAUAUCUGAUAAACAACUGUCUGUAGCACUUUGCUCUACAAUUUAAAUGUACAUAAGAAUAGAAAGCAAUGUAUAAAGAAGGCCCUUGAAUUUUUUGAGGUUGUUUGCUUCCAAGAAAACAACCAAUCUGUGACCAAGAUGUAAUUAAAACCCACGAUUUCUAAUUCCCAGGCUUUGACUCCAACCUCUGAAAAUGCUUCAAUUCAAUGAAACUAAUGGCACUUUGGUCUCUGGAAUUAGAUCCUGUUAUCAAUGACUUCCACAUGGAAAGAUCAUUCCAAAAUGUGUAAUUAACCAAGAAAAUGCAAAUAAACCAAUUUGUACCUGCUAUUUAGAAGUAAGACACA
ensembl:lncRNA